UUCGGGAACCGAAGCUAAUACCGGAUAGGAUCUUCUCCUUCAUGGGAGAAGAAUGAAAGAUGGUUUCGGCUAUCACUUACAGAUGGGCCCGCGGUGCAUUAGCUAGUUGGUGAGGUAACGGCUCACCAAGGCAACGAUGCAUAGCCGACCUGAGAGGGUGAUCGGCCACACUGGGACUGAGACACGGCCCAGACUCCUACGGGAGGCAGCAGUAGGGAAUCUUCCGCAAUGGACGAAAGUCUGACGGAGCAACGCCGCGUGAGUGAUGAAGGCUUUCGGGUCGUAAAACUCUGUUGUUAGGGAAGAACAAGUACGAGAGUAACUGCUCGUACCUUGACGGUACCUAACCAGAAAGCCACGGCUAACUACGUGCCAGCAGCCGCGGUAAUAC
rnacentral:rRNA from 2 species